rnacentral:sRNA from 1 species
GGGGGGGGGGGGGGGGGGGGGGCUGGGGGCCCAGCCCCCCCUUUAGUGGGAAAAAUUUGGUUGAUUAUAUAGGGAAUCAUUGAAGCAUGACUGGAGUGGGUCCCCUCUUAGGUCAGUCAGCGGCCCCCCCCCCCCCCCCCCCCCCCUUAGGAAAAG